AUCAAGUGUUUCCUUGAUGUACCAAUUCCAAAGACAUGAAUAUUGUAAAUUGUAAGUGGAUGCUGCUUAGCUACGGAUCAAGUGCGAUCUUUAGGUUAAGCGUGCAGUGUGCGAAACACCUUUAGGGAAACUUCUUAUCUCUGCACGACACGUGUUGAUGCAAGUAUAAGUCAUCGUUUUGAAUCUUGAGAUUAUUGAGUUAUUACAGUUGAAUUCGGUGGGUAGCACCUGAAUUAUCACACCAAGUUAACUACUCUACAUAUAUAGAGCAUAAUAAAACAUGCCACAAGACAAAACCAAUUGAGCCUUGUUAACCAAGUUAAUUAUAAUUCCAUUGUAAUUUUUCGAAACACCGAAAUGUUUUCAGUUUCUUUUAUCAUUUAUCAAUC